rnacentral:rRNA from 1 species
GACGAACGCUGGCGGCGUGCCUAAUACAUGCAAGUCGAACGCACUCUCGUUUAGAUUGAAGGAGCUUGCUCCUGAUUGAUAAACAUUUGAGUGAGUGGCGGACGGGUGAGUAACACGUGGGUAACCUGCCCUAAAGUGGGGGAUAACAUUUGGAAACAGAUGCUAAUACCGCAUAAAACCUAACACCGCAUGGUGUAGGGUUGAAAGAUGGUUUCGGCUAUCACUUUAGGAUGGACCCGCGGUGCAUUAGUUAGUUGGUGAGGUAAAGGCUCACCAAGACCGUGACUGCAUAGCCGACCUGAGAGGGUAAUCGGCCACACUGGGACUGAGACACGGCCCAGACUCCUACGGGAGGCAGCAGUAGGGAAUCUUCCACAAUGGACGAAAGUCUGAUGGAGCAACGCGCGUGAGUGAAGAAGG